rnacentral:rRNA from 1 species
AUGUUCAUCACCUUCUCCAAGGGCAUGCCUCUCCUCCGCGAGGAGAUCUUCGACUACUUCGGGAAGAAAUGGGGUGACUGCAUGGUGAGGGUGCUCAUGGAGAAGACGACAGGGGGCAGCAUGCCCAUGUAUGGCUGGAUCAUCUUCAAGACAGAGGCAGUAGUGCACCUGGUGCUGAACGGCGAGAGUCUCGUCAAGAUCUCCAUCGACCAACGUCAGAUCUGGCUGCGCAAGUACGUCCCCAAGCCAACAAACGCCGCAGACUGA